rnacentral:rRNA from 1 species
GAUGAACGCUGGCGGCGUGCUUAACACAUGCAAGUCGAACGGAAAGGCCCAAGCUUGCUUGGGUACUCGAGUGGCGAACGGGUGAGUAACACGUGGGUGAUCUGCCCUGCACUUCGGGAUAAGCCUGGGAAACUGGGUCUCAUACCGGAUAGGACCACUUCUUGGAUGUUGUGGUGGAAAGUUUUUCGGUGGUGGGGUGAGCUCGCGGCCUAUCCGCUUGUUGGUGGGGUAAUGGACUACCAAGGCGUCGACGGGUAGCCGGACUGUGAGGGUGUACGGCGACAUUGAGACUGAGGUGAGGCACAGACUCCUACGGGAGGGAGCAGUGGGGAAGCUUGAACGAGGGGCGCAAGGCUGGUGCAGCGACGCUGCGUGGGGGAUGACGGUCUUCGGGUUGUAGACUACUUUCGCAAGGGACGAAGCGUUUUGUGACGGUACCUGGAGAAGAAGCACCGGCUAACUACGUG